ACCCAUCGUCUCCUUUCCCCCUUUGUACAUCCUGCGCAGCGGCCAGGUCGCCAGGAUGCCGUCUCAUGCCUCCCGCGGCGGCCGUCCGGCUUGGCGGACAUGCUCCCAUCUCACGCUCCUUGGGCAGGACUGCAAUCCUGACUCCUCUCUUCGUUUAGCGCAGCGACAAGGCUGCCGUCUGACACGUGACACCCCUCCCACAGGACCGAUGGCCGGCCUCCGCUCUACGUUCGUCGCGACGGCGGAGAUCUCAACUUACGGCCGUCUGGCAGGACCGCCGGCCCGGAUACCCUCUGCAAUUCUCCGGGGUUCCACAUCUCGGCGUCGUCUCUCCAGCUCAGGUAUGAUCACCGGUCCGAUUCUCCUACAAUGAGUCUCCUGGUCCGCCAUGACUACCGGUCCUCCUCCGACGGCUCUCCGAGAUUUUCUCCGGCUGUUUACUCCUCCGGCUCUGGUCGUCGGUCUCCCAUCUCCGACGAAUUUACCGGUCCGAAAAAACCGCUGAUGCACCUCGGUCAAUUUGCCUUUCGUCGUCCCCUACUGUCUUCAUUACGGCAAGAGUAGAUGGAGGGGAUCAGGAAACCAUCUCUCUACCUAGGGCUGAUGUCCAGUCAGAUUCCACUGUUGAUUGCCAAGCACAUGAAGCUGCCGAUGACAAGCCGACAAGAAGUUUUAGUACGGGAAACACCUAGAUACGAACCAUUGGAGACGAUGGUAUCUUAUUGGAAUUGCUGAUUUUUUUAUAUAGCAUGCACAUAUGCAUGGGUAUGGUACUGCCAUCACUCAGAUUAUGGAGAGCAAUCCAUGAUACAGGUUGAGUUUCUCAUGAAUGAUUUUUUACCGGUUUAUACCAGUUUAAGCACCAUCGAUACACACCUAUCCAGCCAGAUGGGGAAUGGUCGGUUCUGUUUUCAUGUAAGCA